CCUACGGGAGGCAGCAGUGGGGAAUAUUGGUCAAUGGGCGCAAGCCUGACCCAGCAACGCCGCGUGAAGGAAGAAGGCUCUCGGGUUGUAAACUUCUUUUAUCCGGGACGAAACAAAUGACGGUACCGAAUGAAUAAGCCACGGCUAACUACGUGCCAGCAGCCGCGGUAAUACGUAGGUGGCAAGCGUUAUCCGGAUUUACUGGGUGUAAAGGGCGCGUAGGCGGGGGAGCAAGUCAGACGUGAAAUGCGGGGGCGUAACCCUUGGACUGCUUUUGAAACUGUUUUGCUUGAGUGCUGGAGAGGCAGGCGGAAUUCCGUGUGUAGCGGUGAAAUGCGUAGAUAUACGGAGGAACACCAGUGGCGAAGGCGGCCUGCUGGACAUUAACUGACGCUGAGGCGCGAAAGCGUGGGGAGCAAACAGGAUUAGAUACCCUUGUAGUC
rnacentral:rRNA from 1 species